rnacentral:lncRNA from 1 species
AAUCGACAGCAGAACCCUCUUCCUGCAAACAAACACUAGUAAAUGACUAACAACUAACUAUCGCCAACAUCUAAAAGGUGGACCGUGAACUCAUCACGCGCGAUUCCACCUGCUGUCAAGCCUCACUUCCGCUACAAACAGCCCGCUCUCGCAAACCCAAACGCUCAUUUAAGCUAGUCAUACAAAGAAAAUGAAUCACGUCAGACAAAAGGACGAUACAUACAAACACACGCUGAUAAAAGUUCGGUAGGUACAAACCUGUCCUGCAGAACCACAAGCACCCACAGCACCGUCAGACGACGCUUCCUGCACUGGUCACGUGACUCGGUCCCGCUGACAUCACAGGCUGCUUAGAGCCUGAUCGUCUCCCGCUUUAUAACAGAUUUCAACACACACCUGACGGACAGCUGUGAAGCCUGCGAUCACGCCGUGGUGCCCUCCUAUGAAGGCCCGCCACUGUGAAACGCAAACAGUAAACAGGAUGGAGCGUCCUGUGUGUGUGAGGGGUCUUUGGGUGAUUGAGGCUCUGUGAGCAGGGGAGGGGUCGGCCGCUAAGGAGAGAAUGAGCCCAUGCUGCCCAGCUGUCACUGCUAUAACUUCAGACUGGAGAGACCACAGGAGAAGAUGAAAACCUGUCGUAGCGUGUUCUCCCCUUUGUUUCUGAACGCUGCGCUGCACACAAAACAUCCCACACAGACAACAGCCACCCGCCUCACAUUCCAGUGGAGAGAGGUGGUGUUUCCAGAGGUGGCAUGUGGAGCUUUUAAACCGGGAUGACUGAGGACAUGGAGAAAAAACAACAAUGCGCAGGCUUUUCAGCAAAGACCAGACAACAGAACACACAAUGCCUUGGAGCCGACUAAAGGAGCUUUCAGAACGUCAGUUGUUUUUGUGUGGUGGAUGAAAGGAUGUUGGUAUUUGGAGCUGUUUCCUGAUGUUAUUACUGGAGCACUUUUGUUGAUAAAUACCUUUAAAUAUGUGUCAUGUGUGAUUUCAUUCCACUGAGAUACUUCAUGUUCCUGCUCAGCGUGAUAAGAACAAGAACUGCUGAUUCCCAAACAUUUACCGUGAUUUUUAUUAUUUUUUCGCUAAUUAGGUCCUGAUAUCAUAUUGUGUCACUCAGUACAAAAUGGAAACAAAACAGCGAUAGAGCGGCUUUGUCAUCACAUGCGGUUGGUUUUUAAGGGGACAUCAUGACCUAGUGUGAUUUCGUGUCAUCAGGUUAAAGCGUUGCGCAGGCCGAGAUGGUCGGAAAUUCCGAUCUCGCAGGCUCAUAAAAUCCUUUCAACCCCCUCGGGAUUAUCUGAAAAAUGCAACGCUAUGUCUCAUAGUGUGCUUCCAAACCUCUGGAUUAGAAACCACAUGCUGGAUUUCCUUCAGCAGCUCGUGUCCAGUCUAACGAUCUGGCUGAAGUCAAGCAAACCGCAUCGCGAAUGCUGCUUUACUGCACAUUUUUAUCUGCGAAAACCUUUAC